rnacentral:rRNA from 1 species
AGAGUUUGAUCCUGGCUCAGGAUGAACGCCGGCGGUGUGCCUAAUACAUGCAAGUCGUACGCACUGGCCCAACUGAUUGAUGGUGCUUGCACCUGAUUGACGAUGGAUCACCAGUGAGUGGCGGACGGGUGAGUAACACGUAGGUAACCUGCCUCGGAGCGGGGGAUAACAUUUGGAAACAGAUGCUAAUACCGCAUAACAACAAAAGCCACAUGGCUUUUGUUUGAAAGAUGGCUUUGGCUAUCACUCCGGGAUGGACCUGCGGUGCAUUAGCUAGUUGGUAAGGUAACGGCUUACCAAGGCAAUGAUGCAUAGCCGAGUUGAGAGACUGAUCGGCCACAAUGGAACUGAGACACGGUCCAUACUCCUACGGGAGGCAGCAGUAGGGAAUCUUCCACAAUGGGCGCAAGCCUGAUGGAGCAACACCGCGUGAGUGAAGAAGGGUUUCGGCUCGUAAAGCUCUGUUGUUGGAGAAGAACGUGCGUGAGAGUAACUGUUCACGCAGUGACGGUAUCCAACCAGAAAGUCACGGCUAACUACGUGCCAGCAGCCGCGGUAAUACGUAGGUGGCAAGCGUUAUCCGGAUUUAUUGGGCGUAAAGCGAGCGCAGGCGGUUGCUUAGGUCUGAUGUGAAAGCCUUCGGCUUAACCGAAGAAGUGCAUCGGAAACCGGGCGACUUGAGUGCAGAAGAGGACAGUGGAACUCCAUGUGUAGCGGUGGAAUGCGUAGAUAUAUGGAAGAACACCAGUGGCGAAGGCGGCUGUCUGGUCUGCAACUGACGCUGAGGCUCGAAAGCAUGGGUAGCGAACAGGAUUAGAUACCCUGGUAGUCCAUGCCGUAAACGAUGAGUGCUAGGUGUUGGAGGGUUUCCGCCCUUCAGUGCCGGAGCUAACGCAUUAAGCACUCCGCCUGGGGAGUACGACCGCAAGGUUGAAACUCAAAGGAAUUGACGGGGGCCCGCACAAGCGGUGGAGCAUGUGGUUUAAUUCGAAGCUACGCGAAGAACCUUACCAGGUCUUGACAUCUUGCGCUAACCUUAGAGAUAAGGCGUUCCCUUCGGGGACGCUGAGACAGGUGGUGCAUGGCUGUCGUCAGCUCGUGUCGUGAGAUGUUGGGUUAAGUCCCGCAACGAGCGCAACCCUUGUCAUUAGUUGCCAUCAUUAAGUUGGGCACUCUAAUGAGACUGCCGGUGACAAACCGGAGGAAGGUGGGGAUGACGUCAAGUCAUCAUGCCCCUUAUGACCUGGGCUACACACGUGCUACAAUGGACGGUACAACGAGAAGCGAACCUGCGAAGGCAAGCGGAUCCCUUAAAGCCGUUCUCAGUUCGGACUGUAGGCUGCAACUCGCCUACACGAAGCUGGAAUCGCUAGUAAUCGCGGACCAGCACGCCGCGGUGAAUACGUUCCCGGGCCUUGCACACACCGCCCGUCA